rnacentral:lncRNA from 1 species
AGCAGCAAAUGCAAGCUCCCUUCUUCUUGAGGACGCUCUUGGUUGCUGCUGUGAUCCUCUGAGGAUAUCAGAGUCUCACUUCUUCAUUUUUACAAACCAGACUCUGCCAGCGAUUCUCCAGAAGCCUUCAGUCUCAGACUCAGGUAGCACCUUUAAUUCCUCUUGUCUGGGGCUUCAGCUAUUGGUUCUUCCAGCUGUCCAGACUGCAGAUGGCCAUUGUGGACUAUCCAGCUUCUGGUCAGGUAAGCCAGCCUAAUAAAUCCCCUUUUUAUAAUUGUACUUCCUGUUGAUACUGUUCCUCUGGAGAGCCCUGACUACUUCAUGUCCCAACUGGAUAGACACUUGGAUAAGAAUUUGAAAACUUUGCUGGGAGAUAUGGCCUUCCCCCAGUGCAUGGACCAGUCCACUUGGUAGGUAAAUAUGGUUACCCACAUUGUCUACAUACCCAUAAAUAUCCCAGGGGCAAGGGGUAGGCAGAGCUACCAUUUCAUGACUCCCAGUGUUAGAACCUUUAACUGUUAUAGUGCAUAAGACGUGCAGGGUCCACCCCAUAGAUCCUCCUGCCCCCCUAUUGUCACACUGGGGUGCCUUCUGGUUAAGCUCUACAGCUUCAGUAGGGAGCCAGCCAUCUUACACCAUCCC